rfam:Felis catus isolate Cinnamon breed Abyssinian chromosome D3, whole genome shotgun sequence.
GCCUGGGUGGCUCAGUCAGUUGAGCGUCUGACUUCAGUUCAGGUCAUGAUCUCGCAGUUCGUGAGUUGGAGCCCCAUGUCAGGCU